UUUUACUAACGCGACGAAAUGAAUUAAAUUGCAAUUAGCGGCAGCUGGCCUCACCACCGUCACCACUACCACUAUCGCCACCAUCACCACCACCACCGCCACCACCAUCACCAUCAGCACCGUCAAGCAGAGGGUACAUCUUGCACCCUUCUUCAUUAAAUAGCUCAAGGUAUCAUCCUCUCCUUGGUUUUUAACGACGAUGUAGCAUAUGAAUGGCGCGCGCGAGAGUGCGCGUUCACGGUUGCGCACGGUGAACCCUUUGGCAUAUUACAAAGAAGAAUUCAAUAAAGUUCGUAAGGAAGCCCGGAGGGAACCAGUCUCCGGCCGGAGGCCGGAGAAAACGAGAGAGGAGAGAGACGGAGAGAACGAGAGAGAGGAUGUAUGAAAGGAAACGCGAGAGUGAGAGAGAAUUCCCUCCUCUCCGUGAGAACGCGGAAAACAGCUAUGAGUUCGCUCGGCAAACUUUGAUACAGUCAUAUAUUUCAGAAUAUUUCAUACUUGAAUGUGUACAAAUGAGAUUAAAUGUUCUUAUUUUGAGUUACGUAGAUUCUCCUCGGCCGUAUGUAGAAUCGCUAUCCUUAAUUGACGUACGAAUGUAUUAGAUGAAAAACGAGAAAGAAGAAAAAUUUUCUUCCUUUAUAUCGAAAAAAAACUUGCGUGUAGGAUAUAAAACGUAUAUAAGUCUCUGAAGCAUCAAAUACCAACUUUGUUUUAUUCAUAUCUCCUUUUAAAUAAAUAUCUUUCUCGUCUA